rnacentral:rRNA from 1 species
UACGUAGGGCGCAAGCGUUGUCCGGAAUUAUUGGGCGUAAAGAGCUCGUAGGCGGCUUGUCACGUCGGGUGUGAAAGCCCGGGGCUUAACCCCGGGUCUGCAUUCGAUACGGGCAGGCUAGAGUGUGGUAGGGGAGAUCGGAAUUCCUGGUGUAGCGGUGAAAUGCGCAGAUAUCAGGAGGAACACCGGUGGCGAAGGCGGAUCUCUGGGCCAUUACUGACGCUGGAGGAGCGAAAGCGUGGGGAGCGAACAGG